rnacentral:rRNA from 1 species
UACGAAGGGGGCUAGCGUUGUUCGGAAUUACUGGGCGUAAAGCGCGCGCAGGCGGUUCUUCAAGUCAGAGGUGAAAGCCCAGAGCUCAACUCUGGAAUGGCCUUUGAGACUAGAGAACUAGGGUACGGGAGAGGUGAGUGGAAUUCCGAGUGUAGAGGUGAAAUUCGUAGAUAUUCGGGAGAACACCAGUGGCGAAGGCGGCUCACUGGCCCGUUACCGACGCUCAGGCGCGACAGCGUGGGGAGCAAACAGG